rnacentral:rRNA from 1 species
CUGGGGAUAAUACUGGAUAUUAGGCUAUGCCUGGAAUGGUUUGCCUUUGAAAUGUUUUUUCGCCUAAGGAUAGGUCUGCGGCUGAUUAGGUCGUUGGUGGGGUAAUGGCCCACCAAGCCGAUGAUCGGUACGGGUUGUGAGAGCAAGGGCCCGGAGAUGGAACCUGAGACAAGGUUCCAGACCCUACGGGGUGCAGCAGGCGCGAAACCUCCGCAAUGUACGAAAGUGCGACGGGGGGAUCCCAAGUGUUAUGCUUUUUUGUAUGACUUUUCAUUAGUGUAAAAAGCUUUUAGAAUAAGAGCUGGGCAAGACCGGUGCCAGCCGCCGCGGUAACACCGGCAGCUCGAGUGGUAGCUGUUUUUAUUGGGCCUAAAGCGUUCGUAGCCGGUUUGAUAAGUCUUUGGUGAAAGCUUGUAGCUUAACUAUAAGAAUUGCUGGAGAUACUAUUAGACUUGAAGUCGGGAGAGGUUAGAGGUACUACCGGGGUAGGGGUGAAAUCCUAUAAUCCUGGGAGGACCACCUGUGGCGAAGGCGUCUAACUGGAACGAUCUUGACGGUGAGUAACGAAAGCCAGGGGCGCGAACCGGAUUAGAUACCCGGGUAGUCCUGGCCGUAAACGAUGUGGACUUGGUGUUGGAAUGGCUUUGAGUUGUUCCGGUGCCGAAGGGAAGCUGUUAAGUCCACCGCCUGGGAAGUACGGUCGCAAGACUGAAACUUAA